rnacentral:rRNA from 1 species
GACGAACGCUGGCGGCGUGCUUAACACAUGCAAGUCGAACGGAAAGGCCCCUUUGGGGGUCCUCGAGUGGCGAACGGGUGAGUAACACGUGAGUAAUCUGCCCUUGACUUCGGGAUAACUUCAGGAAACUGGGGCUAAUACCGGAUAGGAAUCCUUGCUGCAUGGUGGGGGUUGGAAAGCUUCGGCGGUUUUGGAUGGACUCGCGGCUUAUCAGCUUGUUGGUGGGGUAGUGGCUUACCAAGGCUUUGACGGGUAGCCGGCCUGAGAGGGCGACCGGCCACAUUGGGACUGAGAUACGGCCCAGACUCCUACGGGAGGCAGCAGUGGGGAAUAUUGCACAAUGGGCGGAAGCCUGAUGCAGCAACGCCGCGUGCGGGAGGACGGCCUUCGGGUUGUAAACCGCUUUCAGCAGGGGCGAAGCUUGUGGUGACGGUACCUGCAGAAGAAGCACCGGCUAACUACGUG